rnacentral:rRNA from 1 species
GCCGCGGUAAGACGUAGGGCGCGAGCGUUGUCCGGAUUUAUUGGGCGUAAAGAGCUCGUAGGCGGCUUGUCGCGUCGUCCGUGAAAACCCACAGCUCAACUGUGGGCUUGCGGGCGAUACGGGCAGGCUAGAGUUCGGUAGGGGAGACUGGAAUUCCUGGUGUAGCGGUGAAAUGCGCAGAUAUCAGGAGGAACACCGGUGGCGAAGGCGGGUCUCUGGGCCGAUACUGACGCUGAGGAGCGAAAGCGUGGGGAGCGAACAGGAUUAGAUACCCUGGUAGUCCACGCUGUAAACGUUGGGCGCUAGGUGUGGGGGGCCUCUCCGGUUCUCUGUGCCGCAGCUAACGCAUUAAGCGCCCCGCCUGGGGAGUACGGCCGCAAGGCUAAAACUCAAAGGAAUUGACGGGGGCCCGCACAAGCGGCGGAGCAUGCGGAUUAAUUCGAUGCAACGCGAAGAACCUUACCUGGGUUUGACAU